AUUCCAGCUCCAAUAGCGUAUACUAAAGUUGUUGCAGUUAAAAAGCUCGUAGUUGAAUUUCUGGAUUCGAACUGUGGUCAGUCAUUGAUUUGAUUUGCACCUUUUGUUUGGAUCCAUCCUCGGAGAAAACAUAUCUGGCAUUCAGUUGUUGGAUAUGGGAUCUUCGUCAUUUACUGUGAGCAAAAUAGAGUGUUCAAAGCAGGCUUAUGCCGUUGAAUACAUUAGCAUGGAAUAAUAAGAUAGGACUAUGGUACUAUUUUGUUGGUUUGUGCACCAUGGUAAUGAUUAAUGGGGACAGGUGGGGGUAUUCGUAUUCCAUUGUCAGAGGUGAAAUUCUUGGAUUUAUGGAAGACGAACUACUGCGAAAGCAUUUACCAAGGAUGUUUUCAUCG
rnacentral:rRNA from 1 species